UACGAAGGGUGCAAGCGUUAAUCGGAAUUACUGGGCGUAAAGGGUGCGUAGGCGGUUCGUUAAGUCUGUCGUGAAAUCCCCGGGCUCAACCUGGGAAUGGCGAUGGAUACCGGCGAGCUAGAGUGUGUCAGAGGAUGGUGGAAUUCCCGGUGUAGCGGUGAAAUGCGUAGAGAUCGGGAGGAACAUCAGUGGCGAAGGCGGCCAUCUGGGACAACACUGACGCUGAAGCACGAAAGCGUGGGGAGCAAACAGG
rnacentral:rRNA from 1 species